AUCUUUUGGCUCAUGUUGCAGUCUCAUGUUUGUAGCAUUAUUUUUGGUUGCAUGAAGCAGGAAGUUUCAGUUACUGAAGAGUUUCUAGACUUUUUGCUCUGGAGACCUUUGGAGUCUAAAGGCUUGUGAAGGACAACAGAUGGCCAGGCUAAGCUCGGAGCCACCCCGCUAUGGAAUGAUGAAAAUGGCCAGCCUCCUGGUAAAUGGACAUCAGGACCCAGGCAACUUUGCAUUCUGUAUGAUUUUCAUCUGGAAGAUGGGAAGUUUGCAGAAGAUGUAAUGAAUGAGGCAGUCUGGCUGGAAAAUAGUGACUGAAGAAUUAAGCAACACUCCAAAUUCUAAACUAAAGGGCCAGGGAGUCUUGAACCAUUGCUGAUGAAUAGAAGCUGUGUUUAAGCAAGAUAAAAUUUACAAUGAGUCCCAGAGAGAACCGACUGGUGACUACAGGGAACAAGAACUCAUUGCAUACUUGAAGUUUACUAAAAGAGAGUAAUGGAGCAUGUAUGACCAAAAUAUAUUCAUGUAUGCAGAUAUCAUAAUAUGUUAAUAAAUAAAAUUGAAUCAUAUGGUCUAUAGCCA
rnacentral:lncRNA from 1 species